rnacentral:rRNA from 1 species
AUGCUUCAUCAUCAAAUUUUGAUUGGAAGAACUUUAGCAAUGGGUUACAUGGUGGUGGCCAUGUUCAUAUGCUUUUCAAGUGCUUUCGUUAAUCUCAUUUCAGUAGAUGCAUAUGGUCGCAUGGAAACUAAUGGGACGAUAGCUGGUUGGGGCUUUCCUAUGAGUAGCUACAGCACACGAGUUAAAAUAGGUAUAUGGGGUUCACAAGGACAACAUCAUACCCAAGAAUCUGGGGCAUCAUUAUCCAUCGGCAAUAUUGAUUUAGAUCGGUCCUCCUUCAAUACAAUCGAAGCUGGAUUUCAUGUACUCCCCGCAUUAUAUAACAAUAAUGGUUUCCAUUUCUUUAUACGAUGGACGAAAGAUAACUACAAAUCAACGGGCUGUUAUAAUUUGGACUGCCCAGGUUUUGUGCCUCCUAGUGGAGCUGCACUUGUUCCAGGCCAAGCCGUCGCUCCUCCCUCAACUUAUGACAGGGAAGAUCGCUACAUAACAAUUAGCCUGCAUACGGAUCCAAACACAGAAGAUUGGGUGUUGUAUCGAGACGACUUGGAGAAACCUUCAUUUUUGGGGCAUUUUCCAAAAGAGCUUUGCCCCAAAAUAUGGGGUAUAGCCCCCCUAGUAGCAUGGACUGGAUUUGUCAGAUACGGGAACAAGGAAGGUGGUCCCGCAAUGGGUAGUGGUCAUUUUCCAGAAGAGGGCCGAAAGAAAGCAGCAUACUUCAAGAAUAUCAAACUCUUUGAUUCCAAAGCUAAUGUGUAUGAUCCAAGUGGCUUGAUUAGACUUGUCAACAAACCAAGUUGUUACAAAGUCAGUGACCUUAUGACUGCUAAAAAGGAUGGCCAUAUGUUUUACUAUGGAGGUCCAACUGGUUGUGUUGGUUGA